GAUGAACGCUGGCGGCGUGCCUAUUACAUGCAAGUCGAGCGAACAGACGAGGAGCUUGCUCCUCUGACGUUAGCGGCGGACGGGUGUGUAACACGUGGAUAACCUACCUAUAAGACUGGGAUAACUUCGGGAAACCGGAGCUAAUACCGGAUAAUAUAUUGAACCGCAUGGUUCAAUAGUGAAAGACGGUUUUGCUGUCACUUAUAGAUGGAUCCGCGUCGCAUUAGCUAGUUGGUAAGGUAACGGCUUACCAAGGCAACGAUGCGUAGCCGACCUGAGAGGCUGAUGAGCCCCACUGGAGCUGAGACGCGGUCCAUACUCCUACUGGAGGCAGCAGUAGGGAAUCUUCCACAAUGGGCGAAAGCCUGACGGAGCAACGCCGCGUGAGUGAUGAAGGUCUUCGGAUCGUAAAACUCUGUUAUUAGGGAAGAACAAAUGUGUAAGUAACUAUGCACGUCGUGACGGUACCGAAUCAGAAAGCCACGGCUAACUUCGUG
rnacentral:rRNA from 1 species